rnacentral:ncRNA from 1 species
CCUCCUGAUGAUAACGUUGUCUCACUUCUUUCCCAGUCCGAUUUCGACUAUGACGAAUUGGGAUACUAACUUGUCAGUUUAAUAUUCAAAACACUUUAUGUGUUGUUUAAACAGACUUAUACUUGCCAGUAUUGACACCUCUGAUCUUUUGG